UACCAUAAUUUUAAUCAAGUGCACUACAAGUUGUGGUGCUGACGAGAUCUACAUUUUGGUGUGGUUUAUUACCAUAGUGCUCAACUCAAGUCAAAAUGGCGAAAUUAAUCCUAUUCUGCCCGUGGAAGAAAGUGAUAAAAACUUCUGGAAAUUAUAUAGAAUUUUUGGAAACAGUGAAGCAAAAAUUUGAGUUGGAAAUCAGAACAGAGAUUUUUCUGCAAGACGUCAACCGGUGUGGGCUCAUCCAAAAUCGACUGGAGAUUCAUCGGAAUUUGAAGGGGG